GGCGGGUAGCGGGAAUCGAACCCGCAUCAUUAGCUUGGUUUUACCACUAAACUAUACCCGC
rnacentral:tRNA from 1 species